AUCGUCUUUUAUAGCCUAUGAUAGCUGCUAUCCGCCACUAUAAAUGCUAAGUUAUCAUAAAAUGUCUCUAGAAAAGAUUCGGUACCUUUGAUAAAUGGUAUUUUACGCGCCGUUAUGAUGUAACGCCAUCUCCACUUGUAAUUGAAAAUGAAAAUUUACUAGAAUGAGAAGUUUGUAUAAAAAUAUUGGGUUAGUUUAGAAAGUUUUACAAUUUUUAACUGUUAAUUCAUCCUUAUUGCAAUUUUUUCGCGAAUUAUUCCACUUGAAUAAUAUUGUAUUCUACCCGAAUGCAAAACUAUGGAAAGUUUUGUUUCAAAUAUGUAAAUAGAUGUGUAAUACAUGCAAUAUGAAGAUACUUGGAUUUAAUAAAGGUCAUAGAAUCCAAACAUUAAUCUGGUGUAUAAGGGGCAAGGGAAAAUGCAACUGGACGCACAGAUCUUAAAAUUGACAAUUUGGAUCGUGGGUUUGAAGACUUUGAAGCAUUGCGCACGCAAGUGUAAUUGAAAAGCGACUAUAGUAGCCAGUGCCGGCUAGUCAAGUGCUGCUAUGUUAUGGGCACAUUUUUUUCGAAUAAAAAAUAUUUCUGGACAUUUGAAUCCUACGAAAAUAUCACUAGAUUUUUCCCAUUAACUUCGUUGUUACUAUGGAAGUAUAAAAGGAAGGAACAAGCACUUGAACCAUAAAGAGAAGCCUGAAGUAUGUUUAACUUAUGGUAAGAUGCUUGGAGUCGAAGUGCGACCAAUCUAUACGUUCUAGUUUUAAUAAAAUGACAUCGCAAAAUGAGAUUACUGAUCGUGAGUUAUUAAUAUCGAAAAUUAAAACCAGGCGAGCCCUUUGGAAUGAUAGUUGUUUUCUUUUGAAGUUGAUCCUUGAUUUUUCCUAGAAUGUAAUCAAACGUUUACACUGACAUUCUUAAAGACUGAAAAAAAUCUUAUUGGAUCACUGCGAAGUUCAUGAUAAAGGUGAUGGAAUUCAACAUAAGAAAGUCUAUUUCUAUUAAGUUCAUGAACGCCUUGUAUUGUUUUGCUUUUCUUUAAAAUUAGCCUUCGCAGUCGUGUACGUUCUAUAAGUAAUAAUAGUUUGGAUACCAAAUUCAUUACGUUCUUUUGGUUCUAAAGAUAGAAAAUAACUAAAAUGAUGCUUAACCGAUUUGAACAGGACAACGCGCGCGAUGACAUCGCAAAAGCGGUAUCGCUCGACGCACACCAACACUCACAAUUACACUCCCCGACGUGCGUUUCGAUAACCAAGUUAUCGUCUUCAGAGACUGAAAGUAAUCAGUGACAUGCGUUGCUAGCCAAGAGAAGUACUUUUAAAGAUAUUAAUUCCUGGAAUUUGUAGUUUUAGACUCAGAUUACUUAAAAAUUUGUCCUGGUAAUUGCAAUUCUGCACUGAUCAUUACUCCAAACAAAAUCUUAAUCUCUUAAAAAACA